AUGCUUCUUCUCGAGCCUUACCACUUGGUCGCUCUUCUCCUGCUCCUGGUCGCUGCGGGCCGCUGCCUUGCGGCCACCGGCAGCGGCCAUGACGGCCAGCAGUUCGUCUACAACGGCUUCACGGGCGCCAACCUGAUGCUUGACAGCGCGAGCGCAGUUAUGCCUAACGGCCUCCUCAUGCUGAUCACACCAGAAAGGUGAAGGGCUAUGUCGUCCACCCGUCCGCUGCCGUCCCGCACCGCGUCGAACGCCACCGGCGCUGUGCGGCCUUUCUCCACCACCUUCGUCUUUGCCAUCUCCAAUCAAUACGACAACGUGAGAAGCGACGACAUCGCCUUCUUCCUGGCCACGUCCAGGGAAGUGCUCUCCACUGUGUCGCUAGGCCAGUUCCUGGGCCUCCUCAACGAAGGCAAUAUUGGCAACCGGAGCACCCGCAUCUUCGCGGUGGAGCUAGACACGUUCAAAGAUUACGAACUCCGCGACAUCUACGAUAACCAUGUCGGCGUCAACGUUGAUAGCCUGAUGUCGAUCGACUCCGCCAACGCCGGGUACUAUGAUGAUGGCACUGGGAUGUUCCAGAACCUAAGCCUAAUAAGCGGGAACCCCAUGCAGGUGUGCAUGGACUACGACGGCAGGGCCACGAAGAUUUGGUAAACGGCCAAGGAGAUCACCAUAACCAUGGCUCCGUUGGGCAUGGCCAGGCCCAAGAGGCCCCUCCCAUGGACCACCGUCGACCUCUCGGGUGUGGUAUAGAACACGACAUAUGUCGGGUUCUCUUCGGCAACGAGCUUCUUUUACACACAACACUUCGUCCUCGGCUGGAGCUUCGCGUUGGAUGCGCUAGCCCCUGCACUUAACAUCUCAAUGUUGCCGGCCUUGCCAUCGACCUCGACCUACACGACACGGCGGUCCAUCGUAUUGCCAAUGAUGAUCGUUCUGGCCUUAGCAUUGGUGGCGCUGGUUUCGGUAAGCAUCCUAAUCUACAUAUGUCGUCUCAAGUACUUUGAGGUGUGUGAGGACUGGGAGGCCCCCUUUGGCUCGAACCGAUUUUCUUACAAGGACUUGUUUCAUGCGACCAAAGGGUUCAGUGACUAGAACCUACUUGGGAGGGGAGAUUUUGGAAGUGUCUAUAAGGGUUUGCUUUGCAGGACUGACCUGGAGGUCGCCGUGAAGAGGAUGUCACAUGAUUGAAGGCAAGGAGUAAGGGAGUUCAUUGCCGAGGUGGUGAGUAUUGGUCAUCUUCGACAUCGAAAUAUCACGCAAUUGUUGGGCUAUUGCAGGCGUAAGGGGGAGCUUCUCCUGGUAUAUGACUACAUGGAAAAUGGUAGUCUUGACAAGUACCUACACACAAGAAAUGGCCCAACUCUAUGUUGGUUCCAAAGGUAUUCGAUCAUCAAAGGUGUGGCAUCAAGUUUGUUAUAUCUACAUGAGGACUGGGAACAGGUCGUCAUCCACACGGAUGUAAAGGCAAGCAAUGUGCUCUUGGAUGGUAAUAUGAAUGGAAGGUUGGGAGAUUUUGGUCUUGCAAGGAUAUACGACCAUGAAUCCGCCGCUGAAACCACCCAUGUGGCUGGCACCAUCGGAUACCUUGCGCCUGAACUCUCUCGUGCCGGGACUCCAACACCAUUCUAUGAUGUAUAUGCAUUUGGCGUGUUUCUUCUAGAGGUCACGUGUGGACAAAGGCCAAUCUUCAUCGAUGAGCAUAACAACCGGGCAUUGUUGGUCGAGUGGAUGCUUCAACACCACCACAAUGCUUCUAUCGUCGACACAGUAGAUCAACGACUCGGAGGGGAAUACAAUGCGGAUGAGGUAACCAUCGUGCUCAAACUGGGUUUGUUAUGCACGUACCCAUCGCCCAAUGCAAGACCUACCAUGCGAAUGCAAUACCUUGACCAUUGUUAGCCGCCUCCUGAUUUAUCACUGACCUACAAAAGCUACAUCAUGAUGACACAAAUGCAAAAUGAAGGGUUUGAUUCACAGGACAUGGCAUGUUCUCAACCCGCAAUGAGUGUUGCCACUUUGUCAGGUGAGUCUUCAGUGACAAUUUUGCGAAAGGGAAGGUGA
rnacentral:rRNA from 1 species